ACUCAAAGGAAUUGACGGGGGCCCGCACAAGCAGCGGAGCAUGUGGUUUAAUUCGAAGCAACGCGAAGAACCUUACCUAGACUUGACAUCUCCUGAAUUACCUGUAAUAAGGGAAGCCCUUCGGGGCAGGAAGACAGGUGGUGCAUGGUUGUCGUCAGCUCGUGUCGUGAGAUGUUGGGUUAAGUCCCGCAACGAGCGCAACCCUUAUCAUUAGUUGCUACCAUUAAGUUGAGCACUCUAGUGAGACUGCCCGGGUUAACCGGGAGGAAGGUGGGGAUGACGUCAAAUCAUCAUGCCCCUUAUGUCUAGGGCUACACACGUGCUACAAUGGGCGGUACAACGAGAUGCAAAACCGUGAGGUGGAGCCAAACUCAAAAACCGUUCCCAGUUCGGAUUGAAGGCUGAAACUCGCCUUCAUGAAGCCGGAGUUGCUAGUAAUCGCGAAUCAGCAUGUCGCGGUGAAUACGUUCCCGGGCCUUGCACACACCGCCCGU
rnacentral:rRNA from 1 species